GCACAAGCGGUGGAGCAUGUGGUUUAAUUCGACGCAACGCGAAGAACCUUACCAGCUCUUGACAUGCCCGGUAUGGGUGGGAGAGAUCUCAUUCUUCAGUUCGGCUGGCCGGUAUAUAGGUGCUGCAUGGCUGUCGUCAGCUCGUGUCGUGAGAUGUUGGGUUAAGUCCCGCAACGAGCGCAACCCUUAUCUCCAGUUGCUACCAUUUAGUUGAGCACUCUGGCGAAACCGCCUCGGAUAACGGGGAGGAAGGUGGGGAUGACGUCAAGUCCUCAUGGCCUUUAUGUCCAGGGCUACACACGUGCUACAAUGGCCGGUACAAACCGCUGCAACCCCGCGAGGGUGAGCUAAUCGGAAAAAGCCGGCCUCAGUUCGGAUUGGAGUCUGCAACUCGACUCCAUGAAGCUGGAAUCGCUAGUAAUCGUGGAUCAGCAUGCCACGGUGAAUACGUUCCCGGGC
rnacentral:rRNA from 1 species